GUAUAUAUACCUUACAAGAGAAGCCAAAUUGUUAAAAUUAAGGUUUAACAUCUCUAGUUGAAUCAUUCUCAUCAUCGCUAUCGCAAUUCUGGCUUUGCUCAUCGUCAGAAGACGGAGACGGAUCGAGACGGGCUGCGUCUAUAGCCCAUUGGAUCAGCUUAUCCACUUCAGCAUCUUCUCCGAUUUCAUCACCAUCUUCUCCGAUUUCAU